AGGUAUAGGAGCAGGAAUAGGAGCAGGAAUAGGAGCAGGUAUAGGAGCAGGUAUAGGUGCAGGUAUAGGAGCAGGUAUAGGAGCAGGAAUAGGAGCAGGUAUAGGAGCAGGAAUAGGAGCAGGAAUAGGAGCAGGAAUAGGUGCAGGUAUAGGUGCAGGUAUAGGAGCAGGUAUAGGAGCAGGUAUAGGAGCAGGAAUAGGAGCAGGUAUAGGUGUAGGUAUAGGUGUAGGUAUAGGAGCAGGUAUAGAUGCAGGUAUAGG